UACAGAGGGUGCAAGCGUUGUUCGGAAUUACUGGGCGUAAAGCGCGUGUAGGCUGCAAUGUAAGUCGGAUGUGAAAGCCCUUGGCUUAACCAAGGAAGUGCAUCUGAUACUGCAUCGCUUUGAGUGUCGGAGGGGGAUGGCGGAAUUCCCGGUGUAGAGGUGAAAAUUCGUAGAUAUCGGGAGGAACACCUGUGGCGAAAGCGGCGCACUGGACCACAACUGACGCUGAGGCGCGAAAAGCUAGGGGGAGCAAACAGG
rnacentral:rRNA from 1 species